rnacentral:rRNA from 1 species
AGUCAGAAACCGUUGGUGUAGGCGAAGGACAUGCGAAAGGUCCGGCGUAGAGGGUAAGACCCCCGUAGCUGAAACAUCAACGGCUCGUUUGAGAAUCACCCAAGUAGCACGGGGCCCGAGAAAUCCCGUGUGAAUCUGGCGGGACCACCCGCUAAGCCUAAAUAUUCCCUGGUGACCGAUAGCGGAUAGUACCGUGAGGGAAUGGUGAAAAGUACCGCGGGAGCGGAGUGAAAUAGUACCUGAAACCGUGUGCCUACAAGCCGUGGGAGCGUCGCUGGCAGCACUUGUGCUGUCAGUCGUGACUGCGUGCCUUUUGAAGAAUGAGCCUGCGAGUUAGCGGUGUGUAGCGAGGUUAACCCGUGUGGGGAAGCCGUAGCGAAAGCGAGUCCGAACAGGGCGUUUGAGUUGCACGCUCUAGACCCGAAGCGGAGUGAUCUAGCCAUGGGCAGGUUGAAGCGGAGGUAAGACUUCGUGGAGGACCGAACCCACCAGGGUUGAAAACCUGGGGGAUGACCUGUGGUUAGGGGUGAAAGGCCAAUCAAACUCCGUGAUAGCUGGUUCUCCCCGAAAUGCAUUUAGGUGCAGCGUCGUGUGUUUCUUGCCGGAGGUAGAGCACUGGAUAGGCGAUGGGCCCUACCGGGUUACUGACCUUAGCCAAACUCCGAAUGCCGGUAAGUGAGAGCGCGGCAGUGAGACUGUGGGGGAUAAGCUCCAUGGUCGAGAGGGAAACAGCCCAGAGCAUCGACUAAGGCCCCUAAGCGUACGCUAAGUGGGAAAGGAUGUGGAGUCGCAGAGACAACCAGGAGGUUGGCUUAGAAGCAGCCACCCUUGAAAGAGUGCGUAAUAGCUCACUGGUCAAGUGAUUCCGCGCCGACAAUGUAGCGGGGCUCAAGCGUACCGCCGAAGUCGUGUCAUUCAUACAUUAAGGGCCAACGCCUGUGUGGAUGGGUAGGGGAGCGUCGUGUGCCGGGUGAAGCAGCCGCGGAAGCGAGUUGUGGACGGUUCACGAGUGAGAAUGCAGGCAUGAGUAGCGAUACACACGUGAGAAACGUGUGCGCCGAUUGACUAAGGGUUCCUGGGUCAAGCUGAUCUGCCCAGGGUAAGUCGGGACCUAAGGCGAGGCCGACAGGCGUAGUCGAUGGACAACCGGUUGAUAUUCCGGUACCCGCUUUGAAACGCCCAGUACUGAAUCAGGCGAUGCUAAGUCCGUGAAGCCGGCCCGAUCUCUUCGGAGUUGAGGGUAGUGGUGGAGCCGAUGAACCAGACUUGUAGUAGGUAAGCGAUGGGGUGACGCAGGAAGGUAGUCCAGCCCGGGCGGUGGUUGUCCCGGGGUAAGGGUGUAGGACGCACGGUAGGCAAAUCCGUCGUGCAUGAAGUCUGAGACCUGAUGCCGAGCCGAUUGUGGUGAAGUGGAUGAUCCUAUGCUGUCGAGAAAAGCCUCUAGCGAGUUUCAUGGCGGCCCGUACCCUAAACCGACUCAGGUGGUCAGGUAGAGAAUACCGAGGCGUUCGGGUGAACUAUGGUUAAGGAACUCGGCAAAAUGCCCCCGUAACUUCGGGAGAAGGGGGGCCAUUCCUGGUGAUAGCACUUGCUGCUUGAGCUGGGGGUGGCCGCAGAGACCAGCGAGAAGCGACUGUUUACUAAAAACACAGGUCCGUGCGAAGCCGUAAGGCGAUGUAUACGGACUGACGCCUGCCCGGUGCUGGAACGUUAAGGGGACCGGUUAGUGCACUUUCGGGUGUGCGAAGCUGAGAACUUAAGCGCCAGUAAACGGCGGUGGUAACUAUAACCAUCCUAAGGUAGCGAAAUUCCUUGUCGGGUAAGUUCCGACCUGCACGAAUGGCGUAACGACUUCUCGACUGUCUCAACCAUAGGCCCGGUGAAAUUGCACUACGAGUAAAGAUGCUCGUUUCGCGCAGCAGGACGGAAAGACCCCGGGACCUUUACUAUAGUUUGAUAUUGGUGUUCGGUUCGGCUUGUGUAGGAU